rnacentral:tRNA from 1 species
GGAGAGAUGGCAGAGUCUGGCUGAAUGCGCUGCACUCGAAAUGCAGUUUACACUUCGUGUAACGGGGGUUCGAAUCCCUCUCUCUCCG